rnacentral:rRNA from 1 species
GACGAACGCUGGCGGCGUGCCUAAUACAUGCAAGUAGAACGCUGAAGGAGGAGCUUGCUUCUCUGGAUGAGUUGCGAACGGGUGAGUAACGCGUAGGUAACCUGCCUGGUAGCGGGGGAUAACUAUUGGAAACGAUAGCUAAUACCGCAUAACAGUAGAUAUCGCAUGAUAGCUGCUUGAAAGGUGCAAUUGCACCACUACCAGAUGGACCUGCGUUGUAUUAGCUAGUUGGUGAGGUAACGGCUCACCAAGGCAACGAUACAUAGCCGACCUGAGAGGGCGAUCGGCCACACUGGGACUGAGACACGGCCCAGACUCCUACGGGAGGCAGCAGUAGGGAAUCUUCGGCAAUGGACGGAAGUCUGACCGAGCAACGCCGCGUGAGUGAAGAAGGUUUUCGGAUCGUAAAGCUCUGUUGUAAGAGAAGAACGAGUGUGAGAGUGGAAAGUUCACAC